rnacentral:rRNA from 1 species
AUUGAACGCUGGCGGCAGGCCUAACACAUGAAAGUCGAGCGGAGCGGCGGACGGGUGAGUAAUGCCUAGGAAUCUGCCUGGUAGUGGGGGCUAACGUCCGGAAACGGGCGCUAAUACCGCAUACUAUCAUUUGAGCCUAGGUCGGCUUAGCUAGUUGGGGGGGGAAAGGCCUACCACGGCGACGAUCAGUAACUGGUCUGAGAGGAUGAUCAGUCACACUGGAACUGAGACACGGUCCAGACUCCUACGGGAGGCAGCAGGGGGGAAUAUUGGACAAUGGGCGAAAGCCUGAUCCAGCCAUGCCGCGUGUGUGAAGAAGGUCGUCGGAGUGUAAAGCACUUUAAGUUGGGAGGCGUUACCAACAGAAUAAGCACCGGCUAACAUCGUGCCAGCAGCCGCGGUAAUUC